CCUUAGUCAUCUGGAUAGCUCCGUCGGUAGAGCAUGAGGUUCUCAAGGUCGUGGGUUUGAGCCCCACAUUGGGGG